UGUGGUCCUGUGUUUGCUUAUCUCUGG
rnacentral:piRNA from 1 species